rnacentral:tRNA from 7 species
GCGGAAGUAGCUCAGGGGUAGAGCACAACCUUGCCAAGGUUGGGGUCGCGGGUUCGAAUCCCGUCUUCCGCUCCA